rnacentral:rRNA from 1 species
CCCACGUUCGGAUCGCAGGCUGCAACUCGCCUGCAUGAAGUCGGAAUUGCUAGUAAUCGUAGGUCAGCAUACUACGGUGAAUACGUUCCCGGGCCUUGUACACACCGCCCGUCAAACCAUGAGAGUUGGCAACACCCGAAGUCGGUAGUCUAACCGCAAGGAGGACGCCGCCGAAGGUGGGGUUGAUGAUUAGGGUUAAGUCGUAACAAGGUACC